rnacentral:miRNA from 1 species
CGACAACGGUCUGUAAGCUGU